AGGAUAAUAGUUAAUAAUGAAUAUAAUAUUUAAUUUGCAGUUAAAAGUAAAGAAAUUUUAUCUUA
rnacentral:tRNA from 1 species